AGUGAACGCUGGCGGUAGGCCUAACACAUGCAAGUCGAACGGCAGCACAGUAAGAGCUUGCUCUUACGGGUGGCGAGUGGCGGACGGGUGAGGAAUACAUCGGAAUCUACUUUUUCGUGGGGGAUAACGUAGGGAAACUUACUCUAAUACCGCAUACGACCUACGGGUGAAAGCAGGGGAUCUUCGGACCUUGCGCGAUUGAAUGAGCCGAUGUCGGAUUAGCUAGUUGGCGGGCUAAAGGCCCACCAAGGCGACGAUCCGUAGCUGGUCUGAGAGGAUGAUCAGCCACACUGGAACUGAGACACGGUCCAGACUCCUACGGGAGGCAGCAGUGUGGAAUAUUGGACAAUGGGCGCAAGCCUGAUCCAGCCAUACCGCGUGGGUGAAGAAGGCCUUCGGGUUGUAAAGCCCUUUUGUUGGGAAAGAAAAGCAGCAGGUUAAUACCCCGCUGUUCUGACGGUACCCAAAGAAUAAGCACCGGCUAACUCCGUG
rnacentral:rRNA from 1 species